UAAACCAGAUUGAUUUAACUCAUGUGGUUCGCUCUCUUCUUGUCCUCGGAGAUCUCCUGGUAACGCAUCUGAACAGCACGCAGCGCAAUCCUAACAAUUUGGUGACCCCGACGUGAUACUCUCAAUCAGAAAGUUGCUGUGACAAUAGCUGACGGCCUUUUCAGGGAUCCCCUUCCAGCAUCUGGAGCAAUCCAGUUUCGGCUGAUCUACAAAGAGGGGAUGGUUGGUGAGUCUUGCAAAGUUCUGGGCUGAAGAGUCUGAAAAGCACGGGAGCCUGUGACAUUUUUCGCCGUCUGCACCCUGUGAGCAUUAGAGAACAAAGUCAGUGACCAGUAUGACUUUCUUCAUCAUCGUGCUGAUCUCAACGCUUGGGGCAGGGUUACCCGCACAAGCAAUACACCGGGACCCAAGGGAUAACGAGUUUUGGAAAUAUAUAAACUUCACUGUAAAAACAUCAAUGAAUAUGAGUAAA